rnacentral:rRNA from 1 species
GACGAGCGCUGGCGGCGUGCCUAAUACAUGCAAGUAGAACGCACAGUUUAUACCGUAGCUUGCUACACCAUAGACUGUGAGUUGCGAACGGGUGAGUAACGCGUAGGUAACCUGCCUGGUAGCGGGGGAUAACUAUUGGAAACGAUAGCUAAUACCGCAUAAUAUUAAUUAUUGCAUGAUAAUUAAUUGAAAGGUGCAAUUGCACCACUACCAGAUGGACCUGCGUUGUAUUAGCUAGUAGGUGAGGUAACGGCUCACCUAGGCGACGAUACAUAGCCGACCUGAGAGGGUGAUCGGCCACACUGGGACUGCGACACGGCCCAGACUCCUACGGGAGGCAGCAGUAGGGAAUCUUCGGCAAUGGACGAAAGUCUGACCGAGCAACGCCGCGUGAGUGAAGAAGGUUUUCGGAUCGUAAAGCUCUGUUGUAAGAGAAGAACGGGUGUGAGAGUGGAAAGUUCACACUGUGACGGUAUCUUACCAGAAAGGGACGGCUAACUACGUG